GCGCGAAAACUCCGCUAUGUGCGAAAGCACGACGGGGUCAUCCCGAGUGUCAGCCGAUGAGGUUGACUUUUCUUCGGUCCAAAGGGCCGGGGGAAUAAGGGGAGGGCAAGAUUGGUGUCAGCCGCCGCGGUAAUACCAACUCCCCGAGUGGUUGGGACUAUUAUUGGGCUUAAAGCGUCCGUAGCCGGUCUGAUGAGUUUUUCGUUAAAUCCGACGUCCUAAGCGUCGGGCUGCGGGAAAUACUAUCAGACUUGGGAGUGGAAGAAGUCGGCGGUACUUUUUGGGGAGGAGUAAAAUCCUUAGAUCCAGGGAGGACCAUCAGUGGCGAAGGCGGCCGACUAGGACACGUCCGACAGUGAGGGACGAAAGCUGGGGGAGCGAUCCGGAUUAGAUACCCGGGUAGUCCCAGCUGUAAACGAUGCAGGCUAGGUGUGUGACCGGUUACGUGCCGAUCAUGUGCCGUAGACAAAUCGUUAAGCCUGCCGCCUGGGAAGUACGGUCGCAAGGCUGAAACUUAAAGGAAUUGGCGGGGGAGCACCACAAGGGGU
rnacentral:rRNA from 1 species